rnacentral:rRNA from 1 species
AUUGAACGCUGGCGGCAUGCCUAACACAUGCAAGUCGAACGGCAGCACGGUCUAGUUUACUAGAUGGGUGGCGAGUGGCGCACGGGUGAGUAAUGCGUAGGAAUAUGCCUUGAAGUGGGGGAUAACUUGGGGAAACUCAAGCUAAUAACGCAUAAGCUCUAAGGAGGAAAGCUGGGGACCUUCGGGCCUGGCGCUUUAAGAUUAGCCUACGUCCGAUUAGCUAGUUGGUAGGGUAAAGGCAUACCAAGGCGACGAUCGGUAGCUGGUCUGAGAGGAUAAUCAGCCACAGUGGGACUUAGACACAGCCCAGGCUCCUACGGGAGGCAGCAGUGGGGAAUAUUGGACAAUGGGGGAAACCCUGAUCCAGCGAUGCCGCGUGUGUGAAGAAGGCCUACGGGUUGUAAAGCACUUUCGGUGGGGAGGAGGACUAUCAUGUUAAGAGCUAGGUAGUUGGACGUUACCCACAAAAGAAGCACCGGCUAACUCCGUGCCAGCCGCCGCCGUAAGAC